UGCAUUUCUAAUAAAUUAGUUUAUUUUUCUUCAUUAGUUCUUCAUCUCACAACUUUAAAAUCUGUACAUCUUUGGGAAAGGCAUUGAUUUCAAAUUCUUCCUAGCCAUUCAGCUGUAAAUCUACUAUUCUUAUUUAAGGCAUUAGGUUCUUCACAUUAAGCUUUGAUCUUUUAUAAUAAAAGGACAAGAAGCAGAUAAUAAACAGACAACAACAGAAGUCAAUUCCCUUACAGCAGCAAGCUUUUGCGUGCAAAGUUUACAUCCCCUAUCUAUGCACUGAGAGAUUACUUCAUGAGGAAUGAGGGCUUAGUGUGCUGGGUAACCAGACAAACAUCGUGUGUGCUGAGAACAGGAUGGCUUGUCUGAGCAAGUUACACAGACAGGGGAAAAGCAGUAUCUUCACAGCUUGCUGAUUUGAAGGAGUAAAGAACGAAGUGACAGCCAGACGGGCAGGGGACACGGGGUAGCAGGCAUCCAGUGCACUCACAGUGUGCCUACUGCAAGGGCUAAGAACCAAGAAAUGUGCCUGGGCUAGAGCUCAGACGAUGAGCUGUGGUCCUGCAGUUGGAUCUCUUCAGAGCAGCAUGCAGAGAGACAAAGUGCUGUUACAGUUCGCAGCAGAUCUGUUCCUAACUAUGUGAGGGCUGCCAGGGAUUUUCAGGGAGUUGCAGUGAUGGACUCCCUCCUCUGGUUGGUAUCUCUAUCUGCUGAUACUAGAGAACUGCAGGGUCCUGAACAAUUGUGGCUGACAGAAACACUUAGAGCUGAGGUGGACCAGACCCAUCAAAUGGGAAGUUACUGGUUUUGUCUGGUCUCCUGCGCUGACAGACACACGACUGCUGCCAAGUCCUCCUUCCUGUCCUUCUCGUACAGCAUCAGUGAAGAAUAGGCUGAUCAGAAUCUCUCAAGACCUGAGCUAUCCACAUCACAUCAAAACAAGGAGAAAUGUUACGGAUGAACUAGAAAUGUUUUAAUAUACUUGGAGGACAAUUAGGAACAUCAUAAGAAAUCUUGACUAUAAACAAAUGCCACUUGCAGAUGCACAGAGAUUCAGAGGUUCUGCCAGCUGGUGAAGUGUUGGCUGUGAUUUCUGAUGGGUGGAACAGUGAGAGCCGACUCAAGUGCUGUUCUUAUUGCAAUCUUAUAGGAUUAUCCAGCUUCGUGAGAUAUACACUAGGAAUUACUGUGGAGAGGAUUACAGGUAACAUAAACCAUGGGAACAGAGAGAAUGAGAGCCUUUGGGAUUACAGGGAGUGCGAGAGUAAGCAGUAGAGAAGCCCGUAUUAGGCAGGAGCACAGCAGAAGCAGAGGUCUCAAGAAGCAGAGGCAGAGCUCUCAAGCCAGCCCCAAGCUUUGCUUGGGAAGGAAGCUGGGCUGUUUACACCCUGGAUUUUUCCCAAGGCAGCACAACGGCAUGCAGAGAGGGCACACAUACUGUCUAAAACACUAGAGGGGUGAAAGUGGAGCAUUCCUGUUUGCAUUCAGUGGUGCAAACAGCAUGCUCAGGGCUGCUUCUAGCUACUCCCCUGAAGCCCCAGGGUAACCUUGCUCAGUUUUGUUUGAGACACGUCUAUUAGCAAUAGCC
rnacentral:lncRNA from 1 species